GCUGGUUGGGAGGUGGGAAAAUUUGCAGGAACAUAGAACUUUGUAGGAUUUUGUUAGGAUUUAUGUGUUGGCAUGUAUACUUAACACUUAUGAUGAAGAGGUACUGAUAAAUGAUGAAAGCAGACAUACUCCCGGGUUUGGUUACUCAGAAGGUUUGUUAGAAACAAGCCUGGCCAUUGAAAUAGGAGUCAACCAUGAGCCUGAUGUAAUGAGCAUUUGCUGUCAAAAGCCCUAAAUUCGACUAUGGUUGCCAUAACGGUUGAGAAUCAAGUUCUUUGAUGAUUCACUGUGAAUCUGAACCCUGAUGCCUCCAUCCAUGCAAUAACAUGUUUGAUGUUUACUUCAAAGAAUUAUGGCGAUUCGUGUUUGCUUUGGACUUAGUGCGGCUUGCUGGUAAGCCUAGAAAUGUAGUCAGAAACACGGUAACCGGAUGUGUCCUAAAGAAACUUGGGCAGUGAAGGGCUUAGGGGGAUCUUAGUGAUAGUUCGAGGGAACUUGCUGUGGUCGAUUGCUUCUGGAUCGUGUAAUGCGAGUCGGCGGAAGAGUGAUGGGUUACCGGAGUGGGAGAAUGCCUGUUCUGGACAGUUUCACGACUCAUAUCUUUCCUCCCAACCCCCAUUGACUUCUCAAACUUGAAUACAGUAAACCUAUUGGGUAUCGAAGACGAGCAAACAUUUAGCAAAAGCAACAAAAUUUAGUCGUCUAAACAAGAGCUUACCUUAGCAAAAUGUGCGCCUCGCCAACGCGUGGCAUGUAACAGAGGGCCAUAUUGACAACCGUCUGG
rnacentral:lncRNA from 1 species